rnacentral:rRNA from 1 species
AAUCAACGCUGGCGGCGUGCCUCAGACAUGCAAGUCGAACGCGAAAGUCCCCUUCGGGGGACAAGUAGAGUGGCGCACGGGUGAGUAACACGUAGGUAAUCUACCUUUGGAUGGGGAAUAACAACCGGAAACGGUUGCUAAUACCGCAUAAUGCAGCGGCACCUAAUGGUGACAGUUGUUAAAGCGGGGGAUCGAAAGACCUCGCGUCUGAAGAGGAGCCUGCGGCGGAUUAGCUAGNGGUAAGGUAAUGGCUUACCAAGGCUACGAUCCGUAACCGGCCUGAGAGGGCGGUCGGUCACACUGACACUGACAUACGGGUCAGACUCCUACGGGAGGCAGCAGUCGGAAUUUUGGGCAAUGGGCGAAAGCCUGACCCAGCAACGCCGCGUGAAGGAUG